UACGGAAGGCAGCAGUGGGGAAUCUUGCGCAAUGGGCGAAAGCCUGACGCAGCCAUGCCGCGUGAAUGAUGAAGGUCUUAGGAUUGUAAAAUUCUUUCACCGGGGACGAUAAUGACGGUACCCGGAGAAGAAGCCCCGGCUAACUUCGUGCCAGCAGCCGCGGUAAUACGAAGGGGCUAGCGUUGCUCGGAAUUACUGGGCGUAAAGGGCGCGUAGGCGGAUCGUUAAGUCAGAGGUGAAAUCCCAGGGCUCAACCCUGGAACUGCCUUUUGAUACUGGCGAUCUUGAGUAUGAGAGAGGUAUGUGGAACUCCGAGUGUAGAGGUGAAAUUCGUAGAUAUUCGGAAGACACCAGUGGCGAAGGCGACAUACUGGCUCAUUACUGACGCUGAGGCGCGAAAGCGUGGGGAGCAAACAGGGAUUAGAUACCCGU
rnacentral:rRNA from 1 species